rfam:Ipomoea nil DNA, scaffold: scaffold1525, cultivar: Tokyo-kokei standard.
GUUGCUUUGGCCGAGUGGUUAAGGUGUGUGGCUACUAAGUACAUGGGGUUUCCCCGCGAGAGUUCGAAUCUCUUAGGUAAUG